UAUUAGUAGAUGAAUGGUAUAAAAGAGGCAGCACCGCAUGGGGAAGACCAAACGAAUUCAAAGGAUCUUCUAAAGAAGUACAAGACGGUUCUCUACUAUCAUUGUGCAACAGGUUAAAACUCUGUUUGGUUGGCAAAUUAAAAUGAAGCUACUACACGGUUUGUUUUCGGUGCUAUUUAUCGUUGAAUUUUCGGAACUUCAAGGAAAACAUGGCUUUUUCUCGCAAUCUCUUCUUAAGGGCGAAGUGAUUGAAAACAUGUCACAGGCAAAGUUUGUAGCUGGAAUCCAUGCCCCCGCAA